rnacentral:rRNA from 1 species
UACGGGGGGGGCAAGCGUUGUUCGGAAUUACUGGGCGUAAAGGGCUCGUAGGUGGCCAACUAAGUCAGACGUGAAAUCCCUCGGCUUAACCGGGGAACUGCGUCUGAUACUGGAUGGCUUGAGUUCGGGAGAGGGAUGCGGAAUUCCAGGUGUAGCGGUGAAAUGCGUAGAUAUCUGGAGGAACGCCGGUGGCGAAGGCGGCAUCCUGGACCGACACUGACACUGAGGAGCGAAAGCCAGGGGAGCAAACGGG